rnacentral:rRNA from 1 species
UACGAAGGGGGCUAGCGUUGCUCGGAAUCACUGGGCGUAAAGGGUGCGUAGGCGGGUCUUUAAGUCAGGGGUGAAAUCCUGGAGCUCAACUCCAGAACUGCCUUUGAUACUGAGGAUCUUGAGUUCGGGAGAGGUGAGUGGAACUGCGAGUGUAGAGGUGAAAUUCGUAGAUAUUCGCAAGAACACCAGUGGCGAAGGCGGCUCACUGGCCCGGAACUGACGCUGAGGUGCGAAAGCGUGGGGAGCAAACAGG